AAGCCAGGAGGCAGGCUGGAAGGACUGGGGGGGGGGGCUCCCACUAAGCAUAGCCAGCUUCCUGGAGGUCUGGGGGCCCGGAUGGUGGGCACUUGGGGACAAUUGGGGACAGCUGGCCAUGGGGCACUGGGGGGUCUGUCCCUAACUGCCACUCCACUUCCUAGCACCCCAUCCUCAGGCCCAGUCCCCACCGACUUCAUUCUUUUUGGAGGUUGAAGGCUUCUUGCAUCCCCCUGGAGGGGAAAAGUGUGACUUGGGCUCAUGAUGGAGGCCCAUGUGCGGUUGGGGAGCACGACCCUGAGACCUCAGCAGAUGGCAGGGGAAUUCAGGGACAUGGCCGGAUGCCAAGGCAGCAGCAAGUGCUGGGGAGAGCUUAGGGGGCAGCUCCCGCUUGCUUGGCGGAGCCCCAGACUGAAGUAACCUUAAAAAAGCAAUUAAAUCACCUUAAAAAAAAAAAGAAAGAAAAACCAGUAAAGAAAAAUCAAUAUUGGGAGAAAGGGGAAGAGAGAAAAGGAUGGGGAGGAGUGGUGGGGGAGCUCUGGAAAGAUCUGGAAGCCUCCCAGGGAGGGGGCCUGGGCAGUGAGGAGGCGUCUGUGGUCCCUGGGACACUUGAUUUCCAACUCAGCAGCUGCUUCCGGUGCCAACUCCACUUUGCCCUCUGGGCUACUGUGUCCCAGCCAGAGGCGGCCCCUCAUCCCAAGGGUCGUAUCUUUCCAGUUUGGGGCGCUGCUCCCCAGACUCACUAGAAGCUUACACGAGGAAGCCUAGCUUCCCUGGGGCUGCCAGGCUCCACUCUGCCAGGUGACCAGGGACCUGGUAUCAUCAUCAGCAGCAGCAGCAGCAGCAGCAUCAGCAGCAUCAUCAUCAGUGUCCUUAGCAGUCGAUCCCUCCCAGUGAAGCCAGCAUGUCUUCCUGCUCCCUCUACACCUCUAUCUGGACUCUGGACUCUUCUCCUCCUUUCCACACCCUCUUCCCCUACCAAUGAGAGCUCCCCUUUACCCUCUGGCCUGUCCCCCUACACCCUAAUCUCAAGCCUGGUUGUGGCAAGAGACUUAGGGAACAUUUGGUGAAGCAAAGUGGCCAUGGAUAUGCAGAUCACCCAUGGUGCCUUC
rnacentral:lncRNA from 1 species